AGAGUUUGAUCAUGGCUCAGAUUGAACGCUGGCGGAAUGCUUUACACAUGCAAGUCGAACGGCAGCACGGACUUCGGUCUGGUGGCGAGUGGCGAACGGGUGAGUAAUAUAUCGGAACGUGCCCAGUCGUGGGGGAUAACGUAGUGAAAAUUACGCUAAUACCGCAUACGAUCUAUGGAUGAAAGCGGGGGAUCGCAAGACCUCGCGCGAUUGGAGCGGCCGAUAUCAGAUUAGGUAGUUGGUGAGGUAAAGGCUCACCAAGCCAACGAUCUGUAGCUGGUCUGAGAGGACGACCAGCCACACUGGAACUGAGACACGGUCCAGACUCCUACGGGAGGCAGCAGUGGGGAAUUUUGGACAAUGGACGCAAGUCUGAUCCAGCCAUUCCGCGUGCAGGACGAAGGCCUUCGGGUUGUAAACUGCUUUUGUACAGAACGAAAAGCUCUGGGUUAAUACCCUGGGGUCAUGACGGUACUGUAAGAAUAAGCACCGGCUAACUACGUGCCAGCAGCCGCGGUAAU
rnacentral:rRNA from 1 species